CCUACGGGAGGCAGCAGUGGGGGAUAUUGCACAAUGGGGGAAACCCUGAUGCAGCGACGCCGCGUGUGGGAAGACGGUCCUCUGGAUUGUAAACCACUGUCCCCAGGGACGAAGAUGACGGUACCUGGGGAGGAAGCUCCGGCUAACUACGUGCCAGCAGCCGCGGUAAUACGUAGGGAGCGAGCGUUGUCCGGAAUUACUGGGUGUAAAGGGAGCGUAGGCGGGACUGCAAGUUGGGUGUCAAAUCUACCGGCUCAACCGGUAGCCGCACUCAAAACUGCAGUUCUUGAGUGAAGUAGAGGCAGGCGGAAGUCCUAGUGUAGCGGUGAAAUGCGUAGAUAUUAGGAGGAACACCAGUGGCGAAGGCGGCCUGCUGGGCUUUUACUGACGCUGAGGCUCGAAAGUGUGGGUAGCAAACAGGAUUAGAUACCCUAGUAGUC
rnacentral:rRNA from 1 species